GCUGGAAGCACAUACCCCAUGACCCAGCACUGCCAUAUAUCUAUAUAUUAGAGACCCAGGCAUCAGGGGCCACCUACAGCAGCAUUGUUAGGGAUCGCUAAAGACUGGACACAGUCCAAAGAGCCAUCAGCGAGAGAGCGGCUAAGUCAACGUUGGUGUGUUUACCUAGCAGAUUGGACCGUGCAUCAGUGAGACUGAAUGAGCCUUCAGCACAAGCAUCAACAGGCUCAAGGCCAAAAAAAUCAAGUUGCAUAAAGGAAGCCACAGAAGGAAGGGUGCAGUCAGAGAAAAUUCAAAACCAGGCAAUGCUAGACAAUGUUUUGUCUAGUGACACAGAUCCUCGUGGCCAAUCGAUAAAGAGAAGCAAGAACACAGUUUUCUCUCCCACCAGAAUCGGGAUAGAGGUUGGAGGAGGGCGACAGAGGGCAACGGUGCUGUCCCUGGAGAUUCUGAUGUUCCGGAGGUGACUAUUUCUUAUCCCCAGUGGAUGAUAACAGGGUGUGUGCUUUGGAGCUAUCCUUGAAGGGACACAUGGACAUUUCUGCUGUCUUCUGAAUGUGAGGGGCAGGAAGGGAGGAAGGCCUGAGACAUUGUGGUGACCGUGCAGAGGAGACAAUGAAUCUCUUUUUCCCUCUUCCUUCCCUGCCUGCGUGGAUGACUCAUCCCACCACCACUUAGCACUUUCUCCAUUCUGCUUGAAUUACUGCUAGCUGUUGACACGUCUGUCUCCUUCUGCCAUUAAUUUAUUCAAUCAUUAAGGACAAGUGUCAGCAGGAGGGAGGGGGCCCGCUAAAGGGAGCAAAUCAAUAAAGAAAAACUGUGUUGAGUGGGGGCAACAGAGAGGUCUGCAGCGACGUGGACUGGUGUGUUCUCACAGGCGUCAGCUGUGCAGCUUAAGGGAAAGUUCUGCCUGACACCCGCAGGGCCUCCUGUAGCUCUGUAGCCCUCCCGGCCUAGCGCAGCUGGGGCGUGGCCAGUGGUCCUUAGGUGCCAUCACCAGAAGCUCACUGAGCUCAGAAUGCAAGUGGAAACUGCAGGCGUUGGCAAAGGUCCCUGGGAGAGGGCUUCUGAGGGUCCUGCUUCACCGUUUCCCAGACUCUGAUAAGAGCCUACUUACAAAUUCAGGUUCCCUAGUCUCCUGCAGAUUGUCCUGGACCUGGCCAGUGGGUCUGAGCUAAAGCCCAGGAACCUGGAAGUCAAAGGCUCCCCUCCAGUGCCACAUGUCUUCUAUAGUGACACUUGGUGUCUCUUCCCAAGUUUCACAGUAGAUCUAAGCUGCAACCUGUGGGGUUCCUGAAAAGACCCGAGGCUGCUUUCCUGGGAAGUUGGAGGGAGGAAACCUGAGACCACGGCCGGUUUCUUAGAGACCUCGAGGAGACUACCUUGGCACUGAGAACUGAACCUAGGAAUGCUUGACCAUUCAGCUACAUCCCUACAUCCUCAACCUUCUUCUUCUUCUUCUUUUUUCUUUUGAGAAAAGUUCUCACUAAGUUGCCAAGGCUAGCCUUCAACUUGCAAUCUUCCUGCCUCAAUCUCCUGAGUGGCUGGAAUUAUAGGUACGUGCACU